rnacentral:lncRNA from 10 species
AAACUGGGUGACAGAGUCAGAAAACUCCCCAGCUAAACACCCGUAAGACUUCAUACAACACAAUACUCUAUACUGUGAUGAUCACAGCUGCCAAGGCUACCUAAAAGAAGACAGUUAUCUCAUAUUUGGCUGCCAGCUUUUUAUCUUUCUCUCGACCACUUAAAACUUCAGACUUCCUGUCCUGCUGGUAUCAUGGAGAAAGUCCAAUACCUCACUCGCUCAGCUAUAAGAAGAGCCUCAACCAUUGAAAUGCCUCAACAAGCACGUCAAAAGCUACAGAAUCUAUUUAUCAAUUUCUGUCUCAUCUUAAUAUGUCUCUUGCUGAUCUGUAUCAUCGUGAUGCUUCUCUGAAGUUCUGCUACAACCUCUAGAUCUGCAGCUUGCCACAUCAGCUUAAAAUCUGUCAUCCCAUGCAGACAGGAAAACAAUAUUGUAUAACAGACCACUUCCUGAGUAGAAGAGUUUCUUUGUGAAAAGGUCAAGAUUAAGACUAAAACUUAUUGUUACCAUAUGUAUUCAUCUGUUGGAUCUUGUAAACAUGAAAAGGGCUUUAUUUUCAAAAAUUAACUUCAAAAUAAGUGUAUAAAAUGCAACUGUUGAUUUCCUCAACAUGGCUCACAAAUUUCUAUCCCAAAUCUUUUCUGAAGAUGAAGAGUUUAGUUUUAAAACUGCACUGCCAACAAGUUCACUUCAUAUAUAAAGCAUUAUUUUUACUCUUUUGAGGUGAAUAUAAUUUAUAUUACAAUGUAAAAGCUUCUUUAAUACUAAGUAUUUUUCAGGUCUUCACCAAGUAUCAAAGUAAUAACACAAAUGAAGUGUCAUUAUUCAAAAUAGUCCACUGACUCCUCACAUCUGUUAUCUUAUUAUAAAGAACUAUUUGUAGUAACUAUCAGAAUCUACAUUCUAAAACAGAAAUUGUAUUUUUUCUAUGCCACAUUAACAUCUUUUAAAGUUGAUGAGAAUCAAGUAUGGAAAAGUAAGGCCAUACUCUUACAUAAUAAAAUUCCUUUUAAGUAAUUUUUUCAAAGAAUCACAGAAUUCUAGUACAUGUAGGUAAAUCAUAAAUCUGUUCUAAGACAUAUGAUCAACAGAUGAGAACUGGUGGUUAAUAUGUGACAGUGAGAUUAGUCAUAUCACUAAUAUACUAACAACAGAAUCUAAUCUUCAUUUAAGGCACUGUAGUGAAUUAUCUGAGCUAGAGUUACCUAGCUUACCAUACUAUAUCUUUGGAAUCAUGAAACCUUAAGACUUCAGAAUGAUUUUGCAGGUUGUCUUCCAUUCCAGCCUAACAUCCAAUGCAGGCAAGGAAAAUAAAAGAUUUCCAGUGACAGAAAAAUAUAUUAUCUCAAGUAUUUUUUAAAAAUAUAUGAAUUCUCUCUCCAAAUAUUAACUAAUUAUUAGAUUAUAUUUUGAAAUGAACUUGUUGGCCCAUCUAUUACAUCUACAGCUGACCCUUGAACAUGGGGGUUAGGGGAGCUGACAAUUCGUGGGUCCGCAAAAUCUUAACUACCUAAUAGCCUACUAUUGACCAUAAACCUUACUGAUAACAUAAACAGUAAAUUAACACAUAUUUUGCGUGUUAUAUGUAUUAUACACUAUAUUCCUACAAUAAAGUAAGCUAGAGAAAAUGUUAUUUAGAAAAUCAUAAGAAAGAGAAAAUAUAUUUACUAUUCAUUAAAUGGAAGUGGGUCAACAUAAAAGUCUUCAUUCUCAUUGUCUUCACAUUGAGUAGGCAGAGGAGGAGAAAGAUGGGGAGGAAGAGAAGGCGUUGGUCUUGCAGUCUUGUCUUAGGGGUGUGGGGAGUGGGGGAAAGAAUAUUCAUGUAUAAGUGGACCCUUGCAAUUCAAGCCCUUGUUGUUCAAGGGUCAACUGUAAUAGGAUAUAGCUAUUUUUCUUCCUCUAUCAACCAAAUGGUAAGCAUCUAUUUUGCAGUCCACUCUACUGAGCUAAAUUAUAGAUCCAGCUAUGCUAUUUAUAAUUAUUUUCUUGAUGAAUAAAUUU